AUGAGUGGCAGUGGCUGAGACCAUUGAAGAAGGAGGUCUCCCAGCAGUCCCCGCCCUCUUCAUGAUUGGCAUCACGGUUGCCCAAUAGGAAGCUGGGGUGCGUGCUCGUCCCUGCCGCGCCGGGCCGGUCAGCGUAGGUGAAGAUGGCGGUCCUGGCGCCGCUGCUGGCGCUGUUCUACGCGGUGCCCGGGCUCUGCCGCUGGCUGGCGCGGCCCUAUUACCCGCUCUCGGCGCUGCUCUCCGCUGCCUUCCUGCUGGUGCGCAAGCUACCGCCGCUCUGCCAGGGGCUGCCCACGCAGCGCGAGGACGGGAACCCCUGCGACUUCGACUGGCGGGAGGUGGAGAUCCUCAUGUUCCUCAGCGCCAUUGUGAUGAUGAAGAACCGCAGAUCCAUCACUGUGGAUCAGCACCUGGGGAACAUCUUCAUGUUCAGUAAAGUGGCCAACGCGAUCCUCUUCUUCCGGCUGGAUGUGCGGAUGGGGCUGCUCUACCUGACGCUGUGCAUAGUGUUCCUGAUGACCUGCAAGCCGCCUCUGUACCUGGGCCCGGAGUAUAUCAAAUACUUCAGUGAUAAAACCAUCCACGAGGAGCUGGAGCGGGACAAGCGGGUGACCUGGAUUGUGGAGUUCUUUGCCAACUGGUCCAACGAGUGCCAGUCGUUCGCGCCCAUCUACGCUGACCUCUCUCUCAAGUACAACUGCAAGGGGCUCAACUUCGGCAAGGUGGACGUGGGCCGCUACCCUGAUGUCAGCACCAGGUACAAAGUGAGUACCUCACCCCUCACCAAGCAGCUGCCCACCCUGAUCCUCUUCCAGGGCGGGAAGGAGGUGAUGCGUCGGCCGCAGAUUGACAAGAAGGGCCGGGCCGUCUCCUGGACCUUCUCCGAGGAGAAUGUGAUCCGGGAGUUCAGCCUGAACGAGCUGUACCAGAAGGCCAAGAAGCUGUCGAAGCAGCGAGACGAGGGGCAGAAGGAGCCACUGGAGCAGCAGGAUCUCCUGGCGGCCAGCACAGAGCUCCCCAACGGCGAGAGCAAGAAGGACAAAUAGAUCUGCCUCGCUCCCUGUAGUUGCCCCCCAUCAUCCUCUCCUGGCCACUGUGCCAUGGUGCCCAGCACAACCCAUCUUGAAGAUGGCGCCAUGAUGACGAUGGGAGCUGCAUGAGGGAGUCACCACCCUCCCUCUGGGGCUCAGCUGUGCCCUGGCUCCUCACUGGGCCAUGCUGGACUGCUCAUGUCUCUGCAGCAUCUUAUUUAUUCCUGUUCCUCUCUGGCAUCACCUCAAGAACUGGCUGCAGGCUGCUGAUUGGCUGCAAGGGGUGGGCCAUGAUUGGUCCAGCAGGGGCUGGGGGUAGAAUUCCCCUAGGGCUCUAGAGCAGCUGGGUUUGAGGGUGCAGCCUCUCCAGGUUGAAUGGAACCAAGGGGGGCUGGGUGAGGGGGGAGUGUUGACUUGGGCUGAACCAGCUUGGGAUGGGGGUGUAUUGCAGAUGGGCCCAACCACUUCUUGCUGGAAGAUAUUCUCUCCUCCCCCCUUUUCUGUUUGGGGGUAAGGAGGUGCACGGGACUCCUCCCAGCUGUAUAGUCCAUUGGACCUGUUCUCCCCCACGCCUCACUUGGGAGGGCUGUAGGCUUCCCCUGUUGGCUAACCCAGUGGUUGGGGGGAAUCUGGCCUGUGCCUAGCAGUGUGGGGAGAGGAGCUGGAGAGUAUGUGCUGCUCUGGGGGUGGGGGGAAGAGCAGCCUGAGCAUGUAACUCUCUCUCAUCCCAGCCAGGGGCUGGUGGGAACUGAACUCUGCUGCUCUGGAGGACUCUUAGCCAGUGCCUGACUUCUGCCCCUUCCCCACUGAAGGGCCAGGCCACUACUAGUUCCCUUUCCCUUUCCCUUCCUUCCAGCUGGACUUGGUUUAACCCUUCAAGUGCCAAAAGUUAGCUCAUGGGGCAAGGAGGGCAGGUGGUGCCAGGCUGAGUGCAGCACCUGAACUCUGUGCGAGCUGGAGGGGGGAAUUGACUGGAUGGCCCUAGAGGGGCUCCCCUGUUCUGUGCCUGCAGCUGCCUGGGGCACCGCCCCUCCUGAAUCAUAGCAAGGGCCUCUUCAUCCCUGCCAUGAAGGGGAGAGGAAGUUGUGGUGGCUCAGCAGCUGUGGCUCCUGGAAGCAUGGAGUAUUUGUCCUGUUAAUCAUCUCUUCCCUUGACAGUGUCUGUAAUAAACCAGUCUAAGAAUGAA